GCGAAAGUGGCGGAAUUGGUAGACGCACUGGACUUAGAAUCCAGCGCCUUGCGCGUGGGGGUUCAAAUCCCCCCUUUCGCA
rfam:Desulfovibrio sp. An276 An276_contig_1, whole genome shotgun sequence.